rnacentral:antisense_RNA from 1 species
GGGGCCUUCUAUCUUCCUAAGAGUGUUCUCUGACGGGGCUGUUCCCUGCCCAGUGAAACAAAGGACCAAAGAUUUUCUCAAAAAUGUUUAAAAAUUUGACCCAUGUAACGCGGACACUCCACACUCACGGAAGUGGGCAGAAGGGGGAGGGGGAAAAAAAGGAAAGAAAAGCUUCUUCAGCCUCAGCGCGGAGCAGCUGCUGUUCCUUACCCAGACGGGACAGUCGUGGACCACCAGCUUGACAUUCCCAAACGCACUGGCCUGAUACUCGGUGAACACCGGACGCGCGACCGUGCUGGCCGCGUUCAGCAACAAGCUGCUCUCGUCCCCGGAGACCAGAGGGCUUCUCCCCAGGUUCAGCCAUUUAGGAAAGAUUGGUGACCUAUCUGCAUGAUGGCAUUAACUACAAGGAUCAUCCAAGAGCCACAGUCACAAAGCCAGUCUCUGAAUAUGGUUCAAAGAAAUCUUAUAACUCUCUGAACAGGACGUGUAUUCGCCAACACUACUUGGAUGGCUGGUACUUCCAAGGAAGUCACCUUUGCCGUCGAUUUAUGUGCACUGUUCCCAGAGCCAGCUUGCACCCAUGAAGAACAACACAACUUACCGGUCAUAGGAGCAGAAAGUGUCGACCUUGCAGUAGGAUUUGGACACUCUGGGAGCCAAACUGGAUGUGGAAGCUCCAAAGGUUUACCAAGCCCUCUUGGAGAAGCAGGUUCCUGUGGGAACCUGGUUAGAUCUCCCAAGCUAACAGUGUUUUUACUACAAUAAGACAGUGAUUAAUUGUGUCCCACUGGGCACUGUCCUGAUA